UUGAUGUGCGCUAGUGGGGAAUCCAGACUCUCUGGGAAGGCCUUAAUCCUGUUGAUUUCGACAUUCUACUUUACGUCCCCUGUUACUAAAUUCUAUUUCAGUAUUUUACCUUUAUGCUCGCUACCCCGUUUUCACCAUUUUACUACUAUGUUGGAUUUCCUACAACUUGCAGGCAUGGCUAUUUAAAAAGUAAAUGUGGAUGUCUGGGUAGUGCACCCACUAGAUUAAUUACACAUGUAAUCCGCCAACACUAAAUGCAAAUUUGCAACACACUUAUCUAUAUAUUAAAUGAGGGCAUAUCUUAGCAUGAUAUGGUCAGUCUUAUUAAUGCUUUAACAAAUAUACCAAUCUUAGAAAAUCAAUUUUAGCAAAAAAAAAGCCCGCGAGCAUUCAAUAUGGUUACCAGAUAUCGCAAGGCCAUCCAUAAGAUUUAAGAUCUUAUCCAACAAACUAAAUCUACAUGUAGAUUUGUUGGAUGGAGAGAUGUGGUAUUUAAGUGUGCUCACCACCAUAGCCCAUAUAAAAAACCAUGUGGUGUAGAAGUCUUGCAUAACCAAAGAUUGAUCAACACACCUGCCUAGUGUUAACAUCUUCCACAAGAAAGAUGGCUAGUUCUUAAGUAAUGUGGGUGUUCUGCCUCCUAGCUUUACUGGCUUUAACUUCUUGUUCUUAUCAUGUACGAGCAGAAGAUCAUGCCACCAAGGAGAAAAAUGAGGUUUCAUCGUUCCAGAUUAUAGUGCGCCACCACCUCCAGAACACUAAUCGUAAGGCCGGUACGGUCAAAUUAGGAGAGAGGAGUGUUAUAAUAUGGAGCACUUAGUCUAAGGCAAUCUUAUCGAACAAAGGAAGGGAUGCUAUGAUAUUGAUGCUUUAUCAUAGGACCUCUGCAAUAAUGUAUCUUACUUUUAAUUUUAUGACUAAUAAAAGGACUGCCCGCAUGUUCUCUUUGUGUUUA